rnacentral:lncRNA from 1 species
GCUCCACUGGCACCUUGACAGAAAAACAAACUAAUUUCCAACUUUGUGGUUUGCCGAGAUGCAGCACCAGGGAACAGCAUCCACAGCAAGCUUGGUUGGGGGGUUGGGGGGUGCGGCCCCACAGCUACUAGUUGAGUUUGCUACGGUUUUGGCCUUAGCCAUUGAUGUCUGGUUAAUCGCAUGGCACACUGACUGUCAAGGCAGGAGCAGCACGAGCAGCAGCAAAAAUUCAGCUGGAAGAAGAAAAAUAGUUGUGGCUGUCGAUGAUGCGGGUAGAAGGAGGAGUCGGAGCACUGCCACGUUGGAUUGUGUAGUCGUCGAGUCUUGUGUUUACUCUCUCGAAUAGUUAUAGAAAUGUUAUUGUGCGCCAUGCAAAUAGACUGGGGAGCUCCCAGCUGACUUUCGACUUGAAUACAACCCGCUUAAAGUAACGCGUUUAAAUGGAGUCCUCACAUAGAGGACAACUCCUUCCGGAUCACUUGAGUGCUAUUUUCUUUUAUGAAGUAUUUGCGCUUUAUCAAGGAAAUCAAUAUGUCGCCUAACCGAAUUGCCGCCUGUCCAUCCAACCAUCGAUAUCUGCCUACUUCUGGCAGCUUCCGCUCUUAGGCAUACGAAAUCGAGACCAUUCGCUUCCGCCCAUUCACAUUCACAUUCACAUCCCUAGAUCCACAUACACUGCCUGCCCCCCAGAGGACACAAUUGAAAUUGAAUAAAAUUACUUUUCAAAUUAUUUGGGAAACAAGCAGCGGAGGAGCGCACAGACAGCACAUGGCGGUGGGUGGGUGCCAGAAGUGCUUAUCUAUGGGAAAAUGUUAACUGUAUGAAAGCCAUAAACUGUAGAUAUGCAAAGCCCGUAGACCGAAGAGAGCGAGUGAAGGAGAAUACGCAAAAACAAAUAACAAUUUUGCGCUCAAAAUAGAACACAAACAACUGAAGGGAACGAAAGGGAACGGA